rnacentral:rRNA from 1 species
CAUUAAGCAUUCCGCCUGGGGAGUACGGUCGCAAGACUGAAACUCAAAGGAAUUGACGGGGACCCGCACAAGCAGUGGAGCAUGUGGUUUAAUUCGAUGCAACGCGAAGAACCUUACCUACUCUUGACAUCCAGCGAAUCCUUUAGAGAUAGAGGCGUGCCUUCGGGACAGAGGUGACAGGUGGUGCAUGGUUGUCGUCAGCUCGUGUCGUGAGAUGUUGGGUUAAGUCCCGCAACGAGCGCAACCCUUGAUUUUAGUUGCCAGCACAUAAUGGUGGGCACUCAUAGAAGACUGCCGGUGACAAACCGGAGGAAGGUGGGGAUGACGUCAAAUCAUCAUGCCCCUUAUGACUUGGGCUACACACGUACUACAAUGGCUGGUACAACGGGAAGUGAAGCCGCGAGGUGGAGCCAAUCCUAUAAAAGCCAGUCUCAGUUCGGAUUGCAGGCUGCAACUCGCCUGCAUGAAGUCGGAAUUGCUAGUAAUCGCGGAUCAGCAUGCCGCGGUGAAUACGUUCC